AUUGAACGCUGGCGGCAUGCCUUACACAUGCAAGUCGAACGGCAGCACGGGUGCUUGCACCUGGUGGCGAGUGGCGAACGGGUGAGUAAUACAUCGGAACGUACCUUAUCGUGGGGGAUAACGCAGCGAAAGCUGUGCUAAUACCGCAUACGCCCUGAGGGGGAAAGCGGGGGAUCGCAAGACCUCGCGCGAUUAGAGCGGCCGAUGCCUGAUUAGCUAGUUGGUGGGGUAAAAGCCCACCAAGGCGACGAUCAGUAGCUGGUCUGAGAGGACGAUCAGCAAGACUGGGGAUGAGACACGGCCCAGACUCCUACGGGAGGCAGCAGUGGGGAAUUUUGGACAAUGGGGGCAACCCUGAUCCAGCAAUGCCGCGUGAGUGAAGAAGGCCUUCGGGUUGUAAGCUCUUUUGUCAGGGAAGAAACACCGGCUCUAACACAGUCCGGGAAUGACGGUACCUGAAGAAUAAGCACCGGCUAACUACGUGCCAGCCGCCGCCGUAA
rnacentral:rRNA from 1 species